rnacentral:rRNA from 1 species
AUUGAACGCUGGCGGCAGGCCUAACACAUGCAAGUCGAACGAGUGGCGGACGGGUGAGUAAUGUCUGGGAAACUGGCUGAUGGAGGGGGAUAACGACGGGAAACGGUAGCUAAUACCGCAUACCAUCAGAUGUGCCCAGAUGGGAUUAGCGAGUUGGUGGGGUAACGGCUCACCAAGGCGACGAUCCCUAGCUGGUCUGAGAGGAUGACCAGCCACCCUGGAACUGAGACACGGUCCAGACUCCUACGGGAGGCAGCAGUGGGGAAUAUUGCACAAUGGGGGCAAGCCUGAUGCAGCCAUGCCGCGUGUAUGAAGAAGGCCUUCGGGUUGUAAAGUACUUUCAGCGGCGAGGCGUUACUCGCAGAAGAAGCACCGGCUAACUCCGUGCCAGCCGCCGCGGUAAUUC